GGGGCGCUCAGAGGGAGAGCUGCGCGGCCUUCCAGGCAGAAGGAACACCGUGUCCAAACGCACAGAAGCGUGAAAGCCCCCACGAGUGCUUUGACGUUGUGGUGGGUCAAGUCUACCUGACGAGGCGAACAGGGAACUCUUCGGGGAGAAAAUCCUGCCUGUCAAUCUCAUAUUCUCAGUUCCCUUCUAUCAGAUGGGGGCUUAUUGUGCUGCCUCAUACCCACUAAAGGGCGUGAAACCCAGAAUUCUCACUAUGUCUUUUAAUGUAGUUAAAGAUUGGGCCUUCGAGAUGGCUCAGUGGGUAAAGACGCUGCCAAGUUUGCUGACCUGAGUUCGAUCUUCUGGACCUUGGAAGGAGAGAAUGGAACCCUGCAGGUUGUUCCUCUGAUUUGUACAUGCGUGCACACACGUAAUUUCAAUAAAUAACUGAUAGCUCU
rnacentral:lncRNA from 1 species